AUUGAACGCUGGCGGCAGGCCUAACACAUGCAAGUCGAGCGAGCGGCGGACGGGUGAGUAAUGUCUGGGAAACUGCCUGAUGGAGGGGGAUCACUACUGGAAAAGGUAGCUAAUACCGCAUACCAUCAGAUGUGCCCAGAUGGGAUUAGCUAGUAGGUGGGGUAACGGCCCACGUAGGCGACGAUCCCUAGCUGGUCUGCGAGGUGGACCAGCCACACUGGAACUGAGACACGGUCCAGACUCCUACGGGAGGCAGCAGUGGGGAAUAUUGCGCAAUGGGCGAAAGCCUGAUGCAGCCAUGCCGCGUGAGUGAAGAAGGCCUUCGGGUUGUAAAGCACUUUCAGCGGGGAGGCGGUACCCGCAGAAGAAGCACCGGCUAACUCCGUGCCAGCAGCCGCGGUAAUAC
rnacentral:rRNA from 1 species